UGAGCCUUAAGUAAGCACUUCUCAGGUCC
rnacentral:piRNA from 1 species